CUAGUUGUGACCGUAAACGAUGCCAACCAGCGAUUCGGCGACGUUCUUUUUAUGACUCGCUGAGCAGCUUCCGGGAAACCAAAGUGUUUCGGUUCCGGGGGAAGUAUGGUUGCAAAGCUGAAACUUAAAGGAAUUGACGGAAGGGCACCACCAGGAGUGGAGCAUGCGGCUUAAUUUGACUCAACACGGGAAAACUCACCCGUCCCGAACACUGUGAGGAUUGACAGAUCAAGAGCUCUUUCUUGAUUCAGUGGGUAGUGGUGCAUGGCCGUUCUUAGUUGGUGGAGCGAUUUGUCUGGCUAAUUCCGAUAACGAACGAGACUCUGGCCUACUAACUAGCGGCGGUAUUCAUGACUUCCGUGCCUGCGGAGUCGUGCGUGGUUGGCUGCGCAUCAGUCGCCGCGUACGCGCUUCCUGGCCGGGAGCACCAGUACUGGCAGCCGCUUCUUAGAGGGACCAGCGACACUUUCGCAAGCCGCACGAGAAAGAGCAAUAACAGGUCUGUGAUGCCCUUAGAUGGACGGGGCUGCACGCGUGCUACACUGACGGCGUCAGCGUGCGUUCAAGCCUGGCCUGGCAAGGUCGGGAAAUCGGUUGAAACGUUCUCGUGACUGGGACAGGGAAUUGCAAUUAUUUCCCUCGAACGAGGAAUUCCCAGUAAGCGCGAGUCAUCAGCUUGCGUUGAUUA
rnacentral:rRNA from 1 species